UGUUUUAUUAUGUUCUUUAUGAGCGCUCAAAAUAGUACAACAUAUAAUAGCACAUGAAAAUACUCCCAAAAUACUAUACAUAUGAUGCACAUGCAACGUACAGAUUAUUGUCAAUAACUGCUUAUGAAAACUAGUCUAUCAUGCUCAACAGUACACAUUAUGUCGAUCUUUUUAAAAUAUGUCACUCAUAUGAUAAUGGUUAUUUG
rnacentral:lncRNA from 1 species